rnacentral:rRNA from 1 species
UACGUAGGGGGCAAGCGUUAUCCGGAUUCAUUGGGCGUAAAGCGCGCGUAGGCGGCUUGUUAAGCGAGGUGUGAAAACCGGGGGCUCAACCCGCGGCCUGCAUCUCGAACUGGCAGGCUUGAGUCUGGUAGAGGAAAGUGGAAUUCCCAGUGUAGCGGUGAAAUGCGCAGAUAUUGGGAGGAACACCAGUGGCGAAGGCGGCUUUCUGGGCCACGACUGACGCUGAGGCGCGAAAGCUAGGGGAGCAAACAGG